UACAGGGGGGGCAAGCGUUGUUCGGAAUUACUGGGCGUAAAGGGCGCGUAGGCGGCCUUGCAAGUCGGUUGGUGAAAGCCCGGGGCUCAACCCCGGAGGUGCGGCCGAGACUGCAGGGCUGGAGGCCGGAAGAGGAGGGUGGAAUACCCAGUGUAGAGGUGAAAUUCGUAGAUAUUGGGUGGAACACCGGUGGCGAAAGCGGCUCUCUGGUCCGGACCUGACGCUGAGGCGCGAAAGCGUGGGGAGCAAACAGG
rnacentral:rRNA from 1 species